rnacentral:rRNA from 1 species
UACGUAGGGUGCAAGCGUUAAUCGGAAUUACUGGGCGUAAAGCGCACGUAGGCGGAUGUGUCAGUCAGGGGUGAAAUCCCGGAGCUCAACUUCGGAACUGCCCUUGAUACAGCACGUCUUGAGUCCGGAAGAGGUGGGUGGAAUUCCUAGUGUAGAGGUGAAAUCGUAGAUAUUAGGAAGAACACCGGUGGCGAAAGGCGGCCCACUGGUCCGGUACUGACGCUGGAGGUGCGAAAGCGUGGGGAGCAAACAGG